GACGAACCGUCCUAACGUUGUUCGGAAUCACUGGGCUUAAAGGGCGCGUAGGCGGGUUCCCAAGUCGGUGGUGAAAUCUUUCGGCCCAACCGGAAAACAGCCGCCGAUACUGGGAGUCUUGAGGGAGGUAGGGGUCGAUGGAACUUCCGGUGGAGCGGUGAAAUGCGUAGAUAUCGGAAGGAACGCCGGUGGCGAAAGCGAUCGACUGGACCUUUUCUAACGCUGAGGCGCGAAAGCCAGGGGAGCAAACGGG
rnacentral:rRNA from 1 species